rnacentral:rRNA from 1 species
UACAGAGGUCUCAAGCGUUGUUCGGAUUCAUUGGGCGUAAAGGGUGUGUAGGUGGCGCUGUAAGUCGGGUGUGAAAUUUCGGAGCUUAACUCCGAAACUGCAUUCGAUACUGCGGUGCUUGAGGACUGGAGAGGAGACUAGAAUUCAUGGUGUAGCAGUGAAAUGCGUAGAGAUCAUGAGGAAGACCAGUGGCGAAGGCGGGUCUCUGGACAGUUCCUGACACUGAGACACGAAGGCCAGGGGAGCAAACGGG